GAUGAACGCUGGCGGCGUGCCUAAUACAUGCAAGUCGAGCGAACAGACGAGUAGCUUUCUCCUCUGACGUUAGCGGCGGACGGGUGAGUAACAACUGGAUAACCUACCUAUAAGACUGGGAUAAUUUCGGGAAACCGGAGCUAAUACCGGAUAAUAUAUUGCACCGCAUGGUUCAAUAGUGAAAGACGGUUUUGGCCUCACUUAUAGAUGGAUCCGGGCCGCGUUAGCUAGCUGGUAAGGUAACGGCUUACCAAGGCAACGAUGCGUAGCCGACCUGGCGGGGUGAUCGGCCAGGCUGGAAUUGAGAUGAGGUCCAGACUACUACGGGAGGCGGCAGAGGGGAAUCGUCCGCAAUGCGCGAAAGCCUGGCGGAGCGACGCCGCGUGGGUGAUGAAGGUCUUCGGAUCGUAUAACUCUCUUAUUAGGGAAGAACAACUGUGUAGGUAACUAUGCACGGCUUGACGGUAGCUAAACAGAAAGCGACGGCUAACUACGUG
rnacentral:rRNA from 1 species